GACGAACGCUGGCGGCGUGCUUAACACAUGCAAGUCGAGCGGUAAGGCCCUUCGGGGUACACGAGCGGCGAACGGGUGAGUAACACGAGGGUGACCUGCCCUCCACCCUGGGAUAAGCCUGGGAAACCGGGACUAAUACCGGAAAUGACCUCCGCAUGCUGCUGCGGGGGGGGAAAGUUCUGGCGUCGGGGGAUGGGGCCGCGGUCUAUCAGCUUGUUGGUGGGGUGAGGGCCUUCCAAGGCGACGACGGAAAGGCGGCCUGGGAGGGUGAGCGGCCACGCUGGGACGGAGACACGGCCCAGAGACAUCGGGGAGGCAGCAGCGGGGAGUAGUGCGCGAGGAGCGGACGCCUGACGCGGAAGCGCCGCGUGGCGGAUGCCGGCCUUCGGGUUGGACAUCUCUUUCGCGAUCGACGUAGCCCGUACUUCUAGUGCGGGUGACGGUAGGUCGUGAAGAAGCACCGGCCAACUACGUG
rnacentral:rRNA from 1 species